rnacentral:lncRNA from 1 species
UACAGGUCCGAUAUACAGGUCCGAUAUACAUACAGGUCUGAUAUACAGGUCCGAUAUACAGGUCCGAUAUACAGGUCCGAUAUACAGGGGUCCGAUAUACAGGGGUCCGAUAUACAGGUCUGAUAUACAUACAGGUCCGAUAUACAAGUCCGAUAUACAUACAGGUCUGAUAUACAGGGGUCCGCUAUACAGGUCCGAUAUACAUACAGGUCUGAUAUACAGGGGUCCGAUAUACACGUCCGAUAUACAUACAGGUCUGAUAUACAGGGGUCCGAUAUACAGGGGUCCGAUAUACAGGGGUGCGAUAUACAGGGGUCCGAUAUACAGGUCCGAUAUACAGGGGUCCGAUAUACAGGGGUCCGAUAUAC